CAUGUCUUUUUGAAUAUAAUUUAAAGUCUAAUCUGCCCACUGAAAAUUUAAAUGGCCGCAGUAUUUUGACUGUGCUAAGGUAGCAUAAUCAAUAGUUUCUUAAUUAGAAGCUGGAAUGAAUGAUUGGAUGAGAUAAAAACUGUCUUAAUUUUAAUAAUUAAAAUUUUAUUUUUAAGUAAAAAAGCUUAAAUAAUUUUAAAAGACGAGAAGACCCUAUAGAGUUUUAUAUUUUAUUUAUAAUAAAAUUAUUAUUUAAAUAUUUUAUUAUUAUAAAAAAUAUUUUGUUGGGGUGAUAGAAAAAUUUAAUUAACUUUUUUUUUUAUUAAAACAUAAAUUUAUGAAUAAAUGAUCCAUAAUUAAUGAUUAAAAGAUUAAAUUACCUUAGGGAUAACAGCGUAAUUUUUUUUAAGAGUUCAAAUCGAAAAAGAAGAUUGCGACCUCGAUGUUGGAUUAAAGUUAAGUUUUGGUGUAGAAGCUAAAAUUUUAAGUCUGUUCGACUUUUAAAACUUUACAUGAUCUGAGU
rnacentral:rRNA from 1 species